rnacentral:rRNA from 1 species
GACGAACGCUGGCGGCGUGCCUAAUACAUGCAAGUCGAACGCUGAAGGAGGAGCUUGCUUCUCUGGAUGAGUUGCGAACGGGUGAGUAACGCGUAGGUAACCUGCCUGGUAGCGGGGGAUAACUAUUGGAAACGAUAGCUAAUACCGCAUAAUAGCAGUUGUUGCAUGACAACUGUUUGAAAGGUGCAAUUGCACCACUACCAGAUGGACCUGCGUUGUAUUAGCUAGUUGGUGGGGUAACGGCUCACCAAGGCGACGAUACAUAGCCGACCUGAGAGGGGGAUCGGCCACGCUGGGACUGGGACACGGCCCAGACUCCUCCGGGAGGCAGCAGUAGGGAAUCUUCGGCUAUGGACGGAAGUCUGACCGAGCAACGCCGCGUGAGUGAAGAAGGUUUUCGGAUCGUAAAGCUCUGUUGUAAGGGAAGAACGGGUGUGAGAGUGGAAAGUUCACACUGUGACGGUAUCUGACCAGAAAGAGACGGCUAACUACGUG